UACAGAGGGUGCAAGCGUUAAUCGGAAUUACUGGGCGUAAAGCGUACGUAGGUGGUUGGAUAAGUCAGGUGUGAAAUCCCCAAGCUUAACUUGGGAAUUGCGUUUGAUACUGUCUGACUUGAGUUUGGUAGAGGGAGGUGAAAUUCCAGGUGUAGCGGUGAAAUGCGUAGAGAUCUGGAGGAACACCAGUGGCGAAGGCGGCCUCCUGGACUGAAACUGACACUGAGGUACGAAAGCGUGGGGAGCAAACAGG
rnacentral:rRNA from 1 species